AACUUAACCUAAAAUAUACAUAAAUAAUUUAUAUUUUAUUUGGCGGAAAUAUGGUUUAUUGGAUUUGUGCAUCUUUUUUCCCAUUUUAUAAUUCUGUUUCUGAUUCUGUUUCUGUUUCUGUUUCUGCCGCUCCUCGGCUGUUUGUAUAAAAGUCUAAAAAAGUAAACAGUGAAGUGAAUGGCAAGCAGGGCAGCAGGGCAGGAUGGGAGGAUGGGAGGACGAGGCGAGACGAGGCGAGGCAGUUACCGUGAAGCCAGAAGCCAGAAGCCUUCAGGUCUGUCGGUUCUGUCUCGAUCUGACAGUUUUGGCCCCCGGCUUAAGCCCCUUUGGCAGGCUGUCCCUGUUCUGCCGCCGCUCAUGUUCACGGGGGUUAACUCGGUUGCCAGUUCUGGAAUGCCAACAUGCACUGAAAGAAAAAAUAUAUAUAUAUAUAUUUUAUAAAGUGUUUGUGAUAUUAAGGUGAUGGAUAAUAAUAAUUCUAAGGAUCUACUUGUUUCUCUCAGUGUAGUUGGCAAAGUUAAGGCCUCGCUGCGCUUCCGCAGAAUCACUUAACGCUUGAUUACACCGAUUGACGUUUUGACGAGGCACUGAUGCUGCACAAGUCGAUGAUGAUGAUGAUGACGACACGAAUGUUGCUGCUGCUGCUGCUGCUGCUGCUGAUGUGCUGUUGCAUGUUGCUGCUGCUGUUGCGAUUGUCCUGAAGGGAACCUGCAACCUGCAAACCUGCAAACCUGCAACCCAAAUAUCAAGAGGAAAAAAAAAUGAACCCCCCUUUUUAGACAACUGUUGAGGGCGAGGCCUUUGGAGAUGUUGCUUCUCAGCUUUGAUGUUGCUGCCUCUGUUUCUGUUGCAUGGAAUCUGUCAAUGGUUUACCCCCAAGGAAUAUGAGCCUAUGAUUUUUCUGGAAAAUGCUUUAAAAGAUCUUUUAUGUUUGACUUUUUAAAAUUUUGUUAAAAAAUAUAUUUAAAAAAUUAAACAUUAUACCAAAAAUUAAGUUUUUAGAUUAAAAAUUAAUAAAAUUUUUACAGCUUUAGCCCCCAAGGAAUCUGAGCCUUUGAUUUCUCUGGAAUAUACUU